AUUGAACGCUGGCGGCAUGCCUUACACAUGCAAGUCGAACGGCAGCACGGGAGUAAUCCUGGUGGCGAGUGGCGAACGGGUGAGUAAUAUAUCGGAACGUGCCCAGUCGUGGGGGAUAACGCAGCGAAAGCUGUGCUAAUACCGCAUACGAUCUAAGGAUGAAAGCGGGGGAUCGCAAGACCUCGCGCGAUUGGAGCGGCCGAUAUCAGAUUAGCUAGUUGGUGGGGUAAAGGCCCACCAAGGCGACGAUCUGUAGCUGGUCUGAGAGGACGACCAGCACACUGGAACUGAGACACGGUCCAGACUCCUACGGGAGGCAGCAGUGGGGAAUUUUGGACAAUGGGCGCAAGCCUGAUCCAGCAAUGCCGCGUGCAGGAUGAAGGCCUUCGGGUUGUAAACUGCUUUUGUACGGAACGAAACGGCCCUUUCUAAUACAGGGGGCUAAUGACGGUACCGUAAGAAUAAGCACCGGCUAACUACGUGCCAGCAGCCGCAGUAACAC
rnacentral:rRNA from 1 species